GUGCUCACUUUGGUAGCACAUAUAUUAAAAUUAGAAUGAUACAGAGAAAAUUGGCAUGGCCCCUGUGAAAGGAUGACAUGCAAAUUCAUGAAGCAUUCCAUAUUUUU